GACGAACGCUGGCGGCGUGCCUAAUACAUGCAAGUUGAGCGCUGAAGGUUGGUACUUGUACCAACUGGAUGAGCAGCGAACGGGUGAGUAACGCGUGGGGAAUCUGCCUUUGAGCGGGGGGCAACAUUUGGAAACGAAUGCUAAUACCGCAUAAAAACUUUAAACAAAAGUUUUAAGUUUGAAAGAUGCAAUUGCAUCACUCAAAGAUGAUCCCGCGUUGUAUUAGCUAGUUGGUGAGGUAAAGGCUCACCAAGGCGAUGAUACAUAGCCGACCUGAGAGGGUGAUCGGCCACAUUGGGACUGAGACACGGCCCAAACUCCUACGGGAGGCAGCAGUAGGGAAUCUUCGGCAAUGGACGAAAGUCUGACCGAGCAACGCCGCGUGAGUGAAGAAGGUUUUCGGAUCGUAAAACUCUGUUGGUAGAGAAGAACGUUGGUGAGAGUGGAAAGCUCAUCAAGUGACGGUAACUACCCAGAAAGGGACGGCUAACUACGUG
rnacentral:rRNA from 1 species